rnacentral:rRNA from 1 species
CGCGUAGGCGGCUUUAUAAGUCAGAUGUGAAAUCCCACGGCUCAACUGUGGAAGUGCAUUUGAAACUGUGAGGCUUGAGUAUCGGAGGGGGAGUGUGGAAUUCCCGGUGUAGAGGUGAAAUUCGUAGAGAUCGGGAGGAACACCGGUGGCGAAGGCGACACUCUGGACGAAUACUGACGCUGAGGCGCGAAAGCGUGGGGAGCAAACA